rnacentral:snRNA from 1 species
UACCCGCUGAGUUUAAGCAUAUC